UGUAAGCGUAUACCAAAGUUGUUGCAGUUAAAACGCUCGUAGUCGGAAUUUGGCAGUUCCGGAUGUGUGCACGUCGUGUGCGCACUUCGCGGGGAUUGCUUUUGUGGUCUUGCGUAGGAUGAGGCACUUUUAUUAGUGAACGUCCUCACGCAACCACUUUUUACUGUGAGAAAAUCAGAGUGCUCAAAGCAGGCAUUUGCCGUGAAUGUAUUAGCAUGGAAUAAUAGAAUAGGACUUGGUUCUAUUUUGUUGGUUUGUUGGGACUGAGUAAUGAUUAAGAGGGACAGUUGGGAGCAUUUGUAUUUCGGUGCUAGAGGUGAAAUUCUUAGAUUACCGAAAGACAAACUGCUGCGAAAGCGUCUGCCAAGGGUGUUUUCAUUGA
rnacentral:rRNA from 1 species